rnacentral:rRNA from 1 species
AACGAACGCUGGCGGCAUGCCUAACACAUGCAAGUCGAACGAGACCUUCGGGUCUAGUGGCGCACGGGUGCGUAACGCGUGGGAACCUGCCCUUAGGUUCGGAAUAACUCCCCGAAAGGGGUGCUAAUACCGGAUAAUGUCUUCGGACCAAAGAUUUAUCGCCUUUGGAUGGGCCCGCGUUGGAUUAGCUAGUUGGUAGGGUAAAGGCCUACCAAGGCGACGAUCCAUAGCUGGUCUGAGAGGAUGAUCAGCCACACUGGGACUGAGACACGGCCCAGACUCCUACGGGAGGCAGCAGGGGGGAAUCGUAGACAAUGGGCGCAAGCCUGAUCCAGCCAUGCCGCGGGAGUGAUGAAGGCCGUAGGGUGGUAAAGCUCUUUCAGCUGGGAAGAUAAUGACGGUACCAGCAGAAGAAGCCCCGGCUAACUCCGUG